rnacentral:tRNA from 5 species
GGAGAGAUGGCUCGAGUGGUUGAAGGCGUCGCUCUCGAAAAGCGAUGUCCGCCAAAAGCGGACCGUGGGUUCAAAUCCCACUCUCUCCG